AUUGAACGCUGGCGGCAGGCCUAACACAUGCAAGUCGAGCGGAGCGGCGGACGGGUGAGUAAUGCCUAGGAAUGUGCCUGGUAGUGGGGGAUAACGUCCGGUAACGGGCGCUAAUACUGCAUACUUUCAGUUGCGCCUGGGCCGGAUUAGCUAGUUGGUGGGGUAAAGGCAUACCAAGGCGACGAUCCGUAGCUGGUCUGAGAGGAUGAUCAGUCACACUGGAACUGAGACACGGUCCAGACUCCUACGGGAGGCAGCAGUGGGGAAUAUUGGACAAUGGGCGAAAGCCUGAUCCAGCCAUGCCGCGUGUGUGAAGAAGGUCUUCGGAUUGUAAAGCACUUUAAGUUGGGAGGCGUUACCAACAGAAGAAGCACCGGCUAACUCCGUGCCAGCAGCCGCGGUAAUUC
rnacentral:rRNA from 1 species